rnacentral:rRNA from 1 species
CCUGAACGCUGGCGGCGUGGCUAAGACAUGCAAGUCGAACGGGUGUAGCAAUACACCAGUGGCGGACGGGUGAGUAAUGUAUCGCUAACGUGCCCUGGAAUCUGAGAUAGCCAAUCGAAAGGUUGGGUAAUACCAGAUGAAAUAUCCUUAUCGCAUGAUGAGGAUCUCAAAGGAGCAAUCCGGUCUGGGAGCGGGCGAUAUCGUAUCAGCUAGUUGGUGAGGUAACGGCUCACCAAGGCGACGACGCGUAGCCGGGCUGAGAGGUCGGCCGGCCACAUUGGGACUGAGACACUGCCCAGACUCCUACGGGGGGC